UACGAAGGGGGCUAGCGUUGUUCGGAAUUACUGGGCGUAAAGCGCGCGCAGGCGGUCUUCCAAGUCAGUGGUGAAAUCCCAGAGCUCAACUCUGGAACUGCCUUUGAUACUGGGUAUCUUGAGUAUGGAAGAGGUAAGUGGAAUUGCGAGUGUAGAGGUGAAAUUCGUAGAUAUUCGCAGGAACACCAGUGGCGAAGGCGGCUUACUGGUCCAUAACUGACGCGUGAGGUGCGAAAGCG
rnacentral:rRNA from 1 species